rnacentral:rRNA from 1 species
CGAACGAUGAUCCGGUGCUUGCACCGGGGAUUAGUGGCGAACGGGUGAGUAACACGUGAGUAACCUGCCCUUGACUCUGGGAUAAGCCUGGGAAACUGGGUCUAAUACCGGAUAUGACUCCUCAUCGCAUGGUGGGGGGUGGAAAGCUUUUGUGGUUUUGGAUGGACUCGCGGCCUAUCAGCUUGUUGGUGAGGUAAUGGCUCACCAAGGCGACGACGGGUAGCCGGCCUGAGAGGGUGACCGGCCACACUGGGACUGAGACACGGCCCAGACUCCUUCGGGAGGCAGCAGUGGGGAAUAUUGCACAAUGGGUGAAAGCCUGAUGCAGCGACGCCGCGUGAGGGAUUACGGCCUUCGGGUUGUAAACCUCUUUCAGUAGGGAAGAAGCGAAAGUGACGGUACCUGCAGAAGAAGCGCCGGCU